UCCACUAUUUCAGCUUCAUCAUUCAGCCUGGAAACUGAACUGCUUCAUAAAACUUGUGCUUGAAAAGUGUCAUGGGACCCAUAUUAAGUUUCCAAAUUUGAUCUGCUGCACACAAGUAGCUUUGAAGAAGAAGGAUCCCAGCUUAAAGAAAAAUAUGUGUCACAUCCAUAAUUGUUUGACAUCAUCUUCAAGCACA